UACGUAGGGGCAAGCGUUGUCCGGAAUCAUUGGGCGUAAAGCGCGUGUAGGCGGCUCGAUAAGUCUGCUGUGAAAGUCCAAGGCUCAACCUUGGGAUGCCGGUGGAUACUGUCGAGCUCGAGUCCGGAAGAGGAGUGUGGAAUUCCUGGUGUAAGCGGUGAAAUGCGCAGAUAAUCAGGAGGAACACCAAUGGCGAAAGGCAGC
rnacentral:rRNA from 1 species